rnacentral:rRNA from 1 species
CCUUUGUACACACCGCCCGUCGCUACUACCGAUUGAAUGGCUCAGUGAGGCGUCCGGACUGGCCCAGAGAGGUGGGCAACACUCACCCAGGGCCGGAAAGUUGUCCAAACUUGGUCAUUUAGAGG